UAAAAUUCAGGUAUUCUUCCUUUAAGCUUCUAAGCUUUCAAGAGUGAGUGAGUGGGUCUUCAAUCGAUUUGUUGUGUUAGGAAUUGGAAUCUUUUAUUGAGGUAAGUCUCAUUGUAUCUUUUUAAUUCUAGUUCUUUGUUUCUGUCCCUAUAACCUUAAUUUUCACUCUCAUGUUGAGUGCGUGUCAAAUAAGAAGGGUUUACUUAAGAUUUUGAGUUUCUGGUUACUAAUGUAUAUGUAGAAUUUUGGAUUGCAUUCUUGAUGACGGGUUCUACAUCAUAAAAGCUUAGCUUAAUUAUAAAAGAUUUUUUUUCACUUUAAUUUGACAAGCUUUUAGAGAGAACAUCAACUCAUGUAAAAAAUUGAAGAAAGAAAUUUUUGUAGUUUCCAAUACUUGAUUAUAUCUAAAUAGUACCUUGACCAAUGAGUAAUAAAGAGAAUUGACAUACCAAAAUAACUAUCUUAUACUAAUUGAGAUUUUUUUAUUUCUAAGCAAAGAUUGAGAUAUGUUUGCAUUGUUAUUACUAGUAUCGCCAUUUGCUUCAUUAUGGCUGGAGCAACAACCAAUAAAAAAUUUUAUGAUCUAACACUUAUAUAAGCAUGAUGAUUUUUUUGAAGAGAGUAUAGAGAUUGUUUAUGGGUGUAGAAAAAAUCAUGUUUUGUUUUCCCUCAUGUCCUUUUUUAUGCUUAGACAUAUGUAUUUUAUGAGCAAGAUUUUCUCUCUUUCAAACUCAUAUUAAGAAAGAUCUUUAAUAACGAUUUUUUCUUAAGUUAGGAUCCACCAAUCAUGAGGAAUAAAUAAUAGAUUUAGGUCCAAAACCGACCAAAUAUUAAUAAAUUACAUCUUGGCCUUUUAAAAAAAGAUUUUCUUAUAAUUGAAAUGUGAAAAGAUAAGGUUUGUUGGUUAUACCUUAGCCAUAUAAAAAGACAUUUUAUAAUUUUCUUUUCAAUGAAAAAUUUUAAAUCAUUAGAAAGUCUGAGGUAGUAAGAAUAAGUAAUUUAGAGAUCUAAAGACUACAUAAAAUUGUAAAAAAAAUCCUAUACUACCUUUGGGAUAACAUACGCCCUCCCUCCAACCUCUCAAACAAACAAAAUGUAGGGCCCGUACACAUCAAAUUUGUGUAUGUAGGGGUAUGGUACAUUUGGGUACCAUAGGUUUUGUAUAGUUGUGUUCAUUUAUUUCUUUUAUUUUGUGUUAUUUGACUUUAUUGUUAACUUUUCUUAUAAAUUUUUUAAAAAUAUUUUUAUCGCUAAUUAUUUACUCUCAUCAACCUUUACUCACUUGCAAUUUAUGCCAGUAUUCUCAGAAUCAGUUGUGGAUACAACAAAAAAGUUGAGAACCAACAUUAAUGACACUAGUUAUUUAGAGGUCAUGCAUGCGUGGUAAAAUAUCAUAAAAACAAAUGACAUGAAAGAUAGCAUGCGAUAAGGGUUGAUCUCUUAGGUGAAUAUCGUGUAGAGUAUUAUCUCAUACACAACCUCAAUAUAUGAUAUAUGUAAAUACAUAUUUUAUUUUACAGAUUAUGUACAAAAUAAUAUACUUUUUUUUUUUCUUUGAACAUGUAUAAAUCACAAAAAAAAUUUCUUUUUGAAUUCG
rnacentral:lncRNA from 1 species